GAUGUUUGAUCCUGGCUCAGAAUGAACGUUGGCGGCGUGGAUUAGGCAUGCAAGUCGAGCGAUCGUAGCAAUACGAGAGCGGCAUACGGGGUAGGAAUACCUCGGAACAUACCCUCAGGUCGGGGAUAGCGGCGGGAAACUGCCGGUAAUACCCGAUGAUCUCGAGAGAGCAAAGGUUUACUGCCGGAGGAGUGGCCGAGGCGAUAUUAGCUAGUUGGUGAGGUAAUGGCUCACCAAGGCUUCGAUGUCUAGGGGGCGUGAGAGCGCGACCCCCACCACUGGGACUGAGAAACUGCCCAGACACCUACGGGUGGCUGCAGUCGAGAAUCUUCGUCAAUGGGGGAAACCCUGAACGAGCGACGCCGCGUGUGGGAUGAAGGCCUUUGGGUUGUAAACCACUGUCAGGGGGGAUGAAACCGCAAGGUUGACAGAGCCCCAGAGGAAGCACGGGCUAAGUUCGUGCCAGCAGCCGCGGUAAUACGAACUGUGCGAACGUUAUUCGGAAUCACUGGGCUUACAGGGUGCGUAGGUGGCCGGACAAGUCAGGUGUGAAAUCCCUCAGCUCAACUGAGGAACUGCGCUUGAAACUGUUUGGCUAGAGUGAGCUAGGGGUGCUUGGAACUGCCAGUGGAGCGGUGAAAUGUGUUGAUAUUGGCAGGAACACCGGAGCCGAAAGGGAAGCACUGGGGCUUGACUGACACUGAGGCACGAAAGCCAGGGGAGCAAACGGGAUUAGAUACCCCGGUAGUCCUGGCCGUAAACUAUGAGAACUGGGCGGGGGAAGGCUUGCCUAUCCCGGCCGUAGCGAAAGCGUAAGUCUCCGC
rnacentral:rRNA from 1 species